GAUCCUGGCUCAGGAUGAACGCUAGCGGCAGGCCUAACACAUGCAAGUCGAGGGGUAGAGUUCUUCGGAACUUGAGACCGGCGCACGGGUGCGUAACGCGUAUGCAAUCUACCUUAUACAGGGGAAUAGCCCAGAGAAAUUUGGAUUAAUGCCCCAUGGUAUUAUAGAGUGGCAUCACUUUUAUAAUUAAAGUUCCAACGGUAUAAGAUGAGCAUGCGUCCCAUUAGUUAGUUGGUAAGGUAACGGCUUACCAAGACAAUGAUGGGUAGGGGUCCUGAGAGGGAGAUCCCCCACACUGGUACUGAGACACGGACCAGACUCCUACGGGAGGCAGCAGUGAGGAAUAUUGGUCAAUGGGCGCAAGCCUGAACCAGCCAUGCCGCGUGCAGGAAGAAGCAUCUAUGGUGUGUAAACUGCUUUUAUACAGGAAGAAACAACUCUACGUGUAGAGUCUUGACGGUACUGUAGGAAUAAGGACCGGCUAACUCCGUG
rnacentral:rRNA from 1 species